ACUCCUACGGGAGGCAGCAGUGGGGGAAUAUUGCACAAUGGGCGCAAGCCUGAUGCAGCCAUGCCGCGUGUAUGAAGAAGGCCUUCGGGUUGUAAAGUACUUUCAGCAGUGAGGAAGGUGGUAUGUUAAUAGUACAUAUUCAUUUGAUCGUUUAGCUUGCAGAAGAAGACACCGGCUAACUCCGUGCCAGCAGCCGCGGUAAUACGGAGGGUGCGAGCGUUAAUCGGAAUUACUGGGCGUAAAGCGCAUGCAGGUGGUUUGUUAAGUCAGAUGUGAAAGCCGGC
rnacentral:rRNA from 1 species